ensembl:lncRNA
CAUCAUAUCCACAUUUUACGGAUUAUAUUCUGCUAGGAUAUCAUCGCAUUCCUCUAUCAUCGGUGGAAAGAUCUCUUCAGCCACGACCUUUAUCAUCGCUGCUGUUAAGGUAUCUGAUGAAUGUGGAGGUGCAAGGACUGUGACUAUUCAUGUACCAGAAGAUCUGAAUUGCUUAAGCAUUAUAGACUAGAUCAUCAACAUUAUGGAAGGCACCAUCCUUACCUCUGUCUAUAUGAAAACUGUCCAUUUUCAUGUAAAACAUGGAAUGCUUUAAAGAAGCAUCUUUCUACAAACCACUUUUCUCAGCAAUCCUCAACAGAAGAGAUCUCACAUUUGAAGUGCCAC